ACAGGGACGAGGCAGCGCAUGAGAUGUACAAUUUUACUAGUUGCCCAUUCCAUGCACAGCCUCUUCCCUGGUU